AUUGAACGCUGGCGGCAGGCCUAACACAUGCAAGUCGAGCGAGCGGCGGACGGGUGAGUAAUGUCUGGGAAACUGCCUGAUGGAGGGGGAUAACUACUGGAAACGGUAGCUAAUACCGCAUACCAUCAGAUGAACCCAUAUGGGAUUAGCUUGUAGGUAAGGUAACGGCUUACCUAGGCGACGAUCCCUAGCUGGUCUGAGAGGAUGAUCAGCCACACUGGGACUGAGACACGGCCCAGACUCCGACGGGAGGCAGCAGUGGGGAAUAUUGCACAAUGGGCGCAAGCCUGAUACAGCCAUGCCGCGUGUAUGAAGAAGGCCUUCGGGUUGUAAAGUACUUUAAGUUGGGAGGCGUUACCGCAGAAAAGCACCGGCUAACUUCGUGCCAGCAGCCGCGGUAAUUC
rnacentral:rRNA from 1 species